CUCAUCGGACGGCGGCCGUGAGAGCUGCGUUCUCAUUGGCUUCCCGCCCUGUCCGUCUCCCCUUCUCUGCAGGCCGCAGGGGGCUCAGUGAGUCGGAGCUGGAGCAGCCGCUUGGCUUGCUGAAGCUGGCGCGGGAUUUUGGGAGGGGGCUGGAGCAAGGGCCGAGAAGGAGAAGUGGGGCGGGAUGAUUCAUCCCUUUCCACCCCCACCCCCCACACGCUUCCUUCUGAGCUCGAGUGCAGUCACCCGGGAGCAGGGGGCGUGAGAACCCCUCCCAAUCGUGAGUGGGCUGCUGUUGCCUGUCGCCGGCGCUUGGGGCUUGCCUUCCAGCUCUAGUCUGCGCGCCGACCCACCCCUUCUCCUUCCGCUGCUGGCAUCAAGCUGGCACCUCCCCCGUGCCUUCCUGGGGGCUUUUGGGCUUUUCUCCAGCACUCAGAAGCAGCUGGAGCGCCCGCAUCCAUCGUGUUUGGGGGAGAUGGUUGUGUGUCAUGGCUGCAGUGCCCCCUUCUUGCGCUCCCCCCCCUCCCCGGUAGCUUUUUCCCUACUCCGAGGCAAAGGCUCAGUAUUCCUCCAAAAGCUGUACCACCAUCGCUACAUGUUUUAAAUGUGUGGAGGCCCCUACGCCUUGGAGUGAAGGUACCUAGGUUCUUCUCACCCUCCCAGCCUCUCGAAGCUCAUCCCUCAGCAUCUGGCUGGGUUUUAGAGAGGCCCCAGGAACAUUAGUUGAGUUGAAGCAGGCAGAGUUUGUGUGUUUCUGAGUGCUAUUGUUUGGAAACUAGCUAUGUGAACGAAUUGCUAUGGCAUUGCAGAUUCCAAUGUUUGAUUCCAAACGAUAUUAUCCAAUGUCACAUGCCCUUAGCAUCUACCAUAAAUUCCAGAAUAGGGGGCGGGGUGUUAUUUUUGCUUCUGUGAGGUAAUGAAGGAAUCUAAUGAUAGCCCUUGUAUUCUAACCGAUUUCUCUUUUCCCCAAAUCGUGCUAGAGAUAAUGGAUCCUGCCCCUUGCCUGCAUAACCCUUAAAUGAGGACGACGAUAGAAUCUUUGAAUCAAUAUAUCAGCCUGUUACUCAAUGGGUAGAAUCUUUGAAUCCAGUGACAUUCCAAGGAAGUAAUUUAUCUUGGGGGCACACAUAGUUAAUUUUCUGAGUGAUUCAUAAAACAAGUGACAAAAAUGGUUUUCAAGUCCCGUGGGAUCUUCCAAAUUUUCAACUUCCAGUAGAUAACGAUUAUUCAUAGCUUCAUUUAUAAUUUAAAAGCACUUUUUUUUGUCCAGGGAAAAGAAGUACUUUCUAUAAUCUUUGAUUUUUGGAGAAAUAGUACAAAUAAAUUGGAUUAUCUCGCAAAUAUAUUUUUUAGCACAAUGACUACAGUAGUUGAUCAUUGGUUGUGUGGGAGGAAGAAUUCACAUUGUUAUUUAAAACUAUGUUAGUCACAAAUCCUACAGGGUUUAUUUCUAACCCAUAUUUUAAUUAGUUGAGACCAGAGCUGCUAAGGUAUAUGCAAUCUGUUUACAGGCAAAGAGUUUCUUCAGAUUUGAUUGGGGGCAUUAUCUAUAUUAGUGCAGGAUACAAAGACUACAUUAGUCCAAAGACACUUUGCUCAUGCUAAGUGAUUGAUUCUUAAGAAAUUGGUGGAGAGGGUCAUCCACCCUUGCAUGUUACAAUACUUUCAUGCAUUUUGCAUUCGCUUGUGCAAGUCAGGGAAACCUUGGCUGGCAAAGUAAGGAGCUGUCAUUCUUCUGGAGUCUGGGCUUUGCCUACCACGGUAUACCAUGAAGGAGGUCUGGGGAUUAACUAGGGUAUGCCGUGUAAGAGGUCCAGUCAUUAGCAGACAGGCUACCCUUGGUUCACAGCAAAGGGUGGGUGGUCUGAGGGACUGUCCAAUGGUAGGAUUCAGUGUCAGGUACAAAUACCCUCAAUACGAUGCAGACUUACGGAACAGUUGAUCAAUUAGGAAAUAGCUUAAGAUGAGUUAGCGUUGGGUGUGUUUGGUCAGGAACUAGCACAUCAGUCACUCCUAGAGAGCUCUCCAAAUGGCUGCCUUUUGACUCUUCCAGACAUCAUGACUUGAGUCAGUCCCCGUAAUUAGAACAGUUAUUCCCGUUUUUCAGAUUAAUGAACUGACUUUCACGAUCCAGUACUGGUGAGGCUAGUAUUAGAACCCAAGAAAGGGAAGGUUGUAGUUCCUUUUCUUCAUUCACCAAGUAAAUACUGAGUCCAGAUUUUGUCAGGUCCCCACAUAACAAAACCUGAAAUAUUCAACUUUUGCUAUCCCACUUAGCUUCUCCGAGAGUUUACCAUUUUUAAAAUUAAUUUCUCUAUUUUUGUUAGGCCUUUGAAGAUGUCCUCUUGUGUUGUACUACUUGACCAUGAUGUACUUUAAAGCCCACCACCCCGGGUUAUCUUUAAAGGGGAAUUUAAGAAAUCUGAAUGCGAUUGGUGACAUUGUAGAAUGUCAGCCCGCUGGGAGAUUGUUUUCUGUUCCAGCUGGUGGUUGACCGUGCCCUGGAGUGUGGGAUUGCUGGUCCUGUAGUUUCAUCAUCCCUGGUAAUGACUGCAGCUGUUCUCGUUUGUGUAAAUACCGGAUACGAUCCCAUGAAACUUACCAUUCGCCCGAACGAUGUUCUUCAGCAAUGAGGAGAGCAAAUUGGAGGAGCACUGGCAGCUUUUCCACUCUUAAAGGAAAGAUGAAUGUUUUCUAAUGAAAACUACAAUUGCUUUUGUAUUUCUUAAACUGUAAUGCUUGGUGGCUAAUUCUGUAUUCUCUCUGAGUUAAAGAACAAACACAAGGAAGGAGGUAUUUUCUGGUAUCCCUCCCUGUUCUCAUUUAGAGCCAUUUGUCUUCAGAUUUGUGGGUGUGGGGAGGAGGGGGUGGUUCUUCAGCACCAUGUCCACCUCUGUGCAGUCAUGCUUCCCACCGUGAUGAUAAUGGACUAAACUUCCGUACCUGUGAGCCAGCCGCAGUGAAAUGCUGUCCUUUCUAAGAGUCACCAUGGUCAUGGCCUCUUCUGCCAAUAGAAACCUUAACUAAGACAGGACCCCAAAGUGGAAUUAGAACAAUAGCUGCUAGUGCCCAGUUUCUGGAUGAGCUCAAACCAGCUUCAGGGCCUUCUUCACUUAGGAGCCGUGCUCAGAAUACUCGAUGAUAGGGGUACUUAAGCCCAGAUUCAUAUUUAUGCAUGUUACACAUCUAGUUAUAGCAGGCUGAAUUCUGGGUAAAACGGGCUUCUAAGAAAAAAGCAUACCCCCCUUUCCUGGAAGUGCUUACCCAAGGAGAGGCACAAGGAGAAGAGACUGAAAGUCUCCCCUCUGCCAAGGAUGAGUCAUCGUUGCUCAGUUCAGCUCAUGGCCUUUUCUUUUUCUAAAGAGUGUAUUCUUGCUUCCUUGCCUGCUCCAAUUAAUCUUUUGAGAUUUGGAUCCACUGUUUCCCCUCUGAAUUCUUCUCUUUCAGGAGUAUGAGGGUCGAGUACUACUGACAUAGAGACCAGAGAAAAAUAGGGGUGUUAUGCACCUUGGAUUAGGAGAGUGCCCAUCAAUAUUGUUAACUGAGACAAGUAGUUUGCAUUGGAAUUGUUUUACUUUUGUGUUGCUGGAACAAGAAUACCUGAGAACAACUUAACAGGGAGAAAUUAUGUCUUUUUCUCACCUCACCGCUUCAGAGGCUUUGGUCUACCCUGGGUAAAAAAUGUAGCAGAAAAGAGCACUUACAUUAUGGCCGACAAGAAGCAAAAAGAGAUAGGAAGGGACCAAGGACAAGAUACCCUCAAGGACCUACUCGUGGCUUGCUUCCUCCAGCGGCGGCCGUGAGAGCUGCGUUCUCAUUGGCUUCCCGCCCUGUCCGUCUCCCCUUCUCUGCAGGCCGCAGGGGGCUCAGUGAGUCGGAGCUGGAGCAGCCGCUUGGCUUGCUGAAGCUGGCGCGGGAUUUUGGGAGGGGGCUGGAGCAAGGGCCGAGAAGGAGAAGUGGGGCGGGAUGAUUCAUCCCUUUCCACCCCCACCCCCCACACGCUUCCUUCUGAGCUCGAGUGCAGUCACCCGGGAGCAGGGGGCGUGAGAACCCCUCCCAAUCGUGAGUGGGCUGCUGUUGCCUGUCGCCGGCGCUUGGGGCUUGCCUUCCAGCUCUAGUCUGCGCGCCGACCCACCCCUUCUCCUUCCGCUGCUGGCAUCAAGCUGGCACCUCCCCCGUGCCUUCCUGGGGGCUUUUGGGCUUUUCUCCAGCACUCAGAAGCAGCUGGAGCGCCCGCAUCCAUCGUGUUUGGGGGAGAUGGUUGUGUGUCAUGGCUGCAGUGCCCCCUUCUUGCGCUCCCCCCCCUCCCCGGUAGCUUUUUCCCUACUCCGAGGCAAAGGCUCAGUAUUCCUCCAAAAGCUGUACCACCAUCGCUACAUGUUUUAAAUGUGUGGAGGCCCCUACGCCUUGGAGUGAAGGUACCUAGGUUCUUCUCACCCUCCCAGCCUCUCGAAGCUCAUCCCUCAGCAUCUGGCUGGGUUUUAGAGAGGCCCCAGGAACAUUAGUUGAGUUGAAGCAGGCAGAGUUUGUGUGUUUCUGAGUGCUAUUGUUUGGAAACUAGCUAUGUGAACGAAUUGCUAUGGCAUUGCAGAUUCCAAUGUUUGAUUCCAAACGAUAUUAUCCAAUGUCACAUGCCCUUAGCAUCUACCAUAAAUUCCAGAAUAGGGGGCGGGGUGUUAUUUUUGCUUCUGUGAGGUAAUGAAGGAAUCUAAUGAUAGCCCUUGUAUUCUAACCGAUUUCUCUUUUCCCCAAAUCGUGCUAGAGAUAAUGGAUCCUGCCCCUUGCCUGCAUAACCCUUAAAUGAGGACGACGAUAGAAUCUUUGAAUCAAUAUAUCAGCCUGUUACUCAAUGGGUAGAAUCUUUGAAUCCAGUGACAUUCCAAGGAAGUAAUUUAUCUUGGGGGCACACAUAGUUAAUUUUCUGAGUGAUUCAUAAAACAAGUGACAAAAAUGGUUUUCAAGUCCCGUGGGAUCUUCCAAAUUUUCAACUUCCAGUAGAUAACGAUUAUUCAUAGCUUCAUUUAUAAUUUAAAAGCACUUUUUUUUGUCCAGGGAAAAGAAGUACUUUCUAUAAUCUUUGAUUUUUGGAGAAAUAGUACAAAUAAAUUGGAUUAUCUCGCAAAUAUAUUUUUUAGCACAAUGACUACAGUAGUUGAUCAUUGGUUGUGUGGGAGGAAGAAUUCACAUUGUUAUUUAAAACUAUGUUAGUCACAAAUCCUACAGGGUUUAUUUCUAACCCAUAUUUUAAUUAGUUGAGACCAGAGCUGCUAAGGUAUAUGCAAUCUGUUUACAGGCAAAGAGUUUCUUCAGAUUUGAUUGGGGGCAUUAUCUAUAUUAGUGCAGGAUACAAAGACUACAUUAGUCCAAAGACACUUUGCUCAUGCUAAGUGAUUGAUUCUUAAGAAAUUGGUGGAGAGGGUCAUCCACCCUUGCAUGUUACAAUACUUUCAUGCAUUUUGCAUUCGCUUGUGCAAGUCAGGGAAACCUUGGCUGGCAAAGUAAGGAGCUGUCAUUCUUCUGGAGUCUGGGCUUUGCCUACCACGGUAUACCAUGAAGGAGGUCUGGGGAUUAACUAGGGUAUGCCGUGUAAGAGGUCCAGUCAUUAGCAGACAGGCUACCCUUGGUUCACAGCAAAGGGUGGGUGGUCUGAGGGACUGUCCAAUGGUAGGAUUCAGUGUCAGGUACAAAUACCCUCAAUACGAUGCAGACUUACGGAACAGUUGAUCAAUUAGGAAAUAGCUUAAGAUGAGUUAGCGUUGGGUGUGUUUGGUCAGGAACUAGCACAUCAGUCACUCCUAGAGAGCUCUCCAAAUGGCUGCCUUUUGACUCUUCCAGACAUCAUGACUUGAGUCAGUCCCCGUAAUUAGAACAGUUAUUCCCGUUUUUCAGAUUAAUGAACUGACUUUCACGAUCCAGUACUGGUGAGGCUAGUAUUAGAACCCAAGAAAGGGAAGGUUGUAGUUCCUUUUCUUCAUUCACCAAGUAAAUACUGAGUCCAGAUUUUGUCAGGUCCCCACAUAACAAAACCUGAAAUAUUCAACUUUUGCUAUCCCACUUAGCUUCUCCGAGAGUUUACCAUUUUUAAAAUUAAUUUCUCUAUUUUUGUUAGGCCUUUGAAGAUGUCCUCUUGUGUUGUACUACUUGACCAUGAUGUACUUUAAAGCCCACCACCCCGGGUUAUCUUUAAAGGGGAAUUUAAGAAAUCUGAAUGCGAUUGGUGACAUUGUAGAAUGUCAGCCCGCUGGGAGAUUGUUUUCUGUUCCAGCUGGUGGUUGACCGUGCCCUGGAGUGUGGGAUUGCUGGUCCUGUAGUUUCAUCAUCCCUGGUAAUGACUGCAGCUGUUCUCGUUUGUGUAAAUACCGGAUACGAUCCCAUGAAACUUACCAUUCGCCCGAACGAUGUUCUUCAGCAAUGAGGAGAGCAAAUUGGAGGAGCACUGGCAGCUUUUCCACUCUUAAAGGAAAGAUGAAUGUUUUCUAAUGAAAACUACAAUUGCUUUUGUAUUUCUUAAACUGUAAUGCUUGGUGGCUAAUUCUGUAUUCUCUCUGAGUUAAAGAACAAACACAAGGAAGGAGGUAUUUUCUGGUAUCCCUCCCUGUUCUCAUUUAGAGCCAUUUGUCUUCAGAUUUGUGGGUGUGGGGAGGAGGGGGUGGUUCUUCAGCACCAUGUCCACCUCUGUGCAGUCAUGCUUCCCACCGUGAUGAUAAUGGACUAAACUUCCGUACCUGUGAGCCAGCCGCAGUGAAAUGCUGUCCUUUCUAAGAGUCACCAUGGUCAUGGCCUCUUCUGCCAAUAGAAACCUUAACUAAGACAGGACCCCAAAGUGGAAUUAGAACAAUAGCUGCUAGUGCCCAGUUUCUGGAUGAGCUCAAACCAGCUUCAGGGCCUUCUUCACUUAGGAGCCGUGCUCAGAAUACUCGAUGAUAGGGGUACUUAAGCCCAGAUUCAUAUUUAUGCAUGUUACACAUCUAGUUAUAGCAGGCUGAAUUCUGGGUAAAACGGGCUUCUAAGAAAAAAGCAUACCCCCCUUUCCUGGAAGUGCUUACCCAAGGAGAGGCACAAGGAGAAGAGACUGAAAGUCUCCCCUCUGCCAAGGAUGAGUCAUCGUUGCUCAGUUCAGCUCAUGGCCUUUUCUUUUUCUAAAGAGUGUAUUCUUGCUUCCUUGCCUGCUCCAAUUAAUCUUUUGAGAUUUGGAUCCACUGUUUCCCCUCUGAAUUCUUCUCUUUCAGGAGUAUGAGGGUCGAGUACUACUGACAUAGAGACCAGAGAAAAAUAGGGGUGUUAUGCACCUUGGAUUAGGAGAGUGCCCAUCAAUAUUGUUAACUGAGACAAGUAGUUUGCAUUGGAAUUGUUUUACUUUUGUGUUGCUGGAACAAGAAUACCUGAGAACAACUUAACAGGGAGAAAUUAUGUCUUUUUCUCACCUCACCGCUUCAGAGGCUUUGGUCUACCCUGGGUAAAAAAUGUAGCAGAAAAGAGCACUUACAUUAUGGCCGACAAGAAGCAAAAAGAGAUAGGAAGGGACCAAGGACAAGAUACCCUCAAGGACCUACUCGUGGCUUGCUUCCUCCAGGGCAUGCUUCUUGGAAAAGCCUAAUCAAGAUAAAGAGUGAGUGAGUUGGGGAGAGAGCAGGUGCGUGUUGAAAAGGGAACUUGGAGUCGUCUGGGGAUGCGGAGCAAAAGGAAGUCUCAGUUACUGCUGACGGGGACGCAAAAUACAGCGUUUUGCAGAAUUUAGCAGUUUCCUACAAGACGUUCAGACUAUCAGAACAGUUCUUCAGGGGACAUUCCCAUCCGAGUGAUUCUAAAUUAUGUCAGGAUAAGUCUAGGACUGUCAUUAUUACCAGGACACUGACGAUGAACUUGGGGACACCACUGAACCACUAUAAUAUUUCCCUCUUCCAAAUGUGGCCACACCAAGUAAGUAAUCUUUCUCCAUUCUUCACGAUUAUCCGUGUGUUUAAUUUGGCCUAUUAAGAGUGAAUGGCUGGACCUGGGAUUUUAGAGCUAGCUGGGUUCAGGCUUUGACCCUAACAACGCCUGGAUGCUGAGAUAGUUCCUUGAACUCCAAAGCUUCUACCAGUCUCUCAUUUUAGGACAUAUUUUGGGGAGAAAGAGGAAGAUCUGCCUGGGGGUCUUCAGGGAGAGAGUUUCCCCUGCUUGCUGGGACUAGGAGAGACUCGGUGGUGCACUUAGUCCUACAAACAUCUCACACAUGCACCUGUGCUAAAUUAGGCUAGAGAUACUUUAAGUGACAUUUACGCAGGAUAAAAUAGAGCAGAGGCUCAUUCGGGAAAGGAGAAUUAAAUAAAUAUAAUUUUAUUUUAUUUGUUGUGCAGAAAAUUUCUGCUUCAGUCUUACAGCAAUUGUAAGGUGAUGGCAGGCUAAGUUUGAUCACUUAGGCAGAGAAGCAUGCUCUUGUGCUGCACCUCACUUCUCACUAAUACUUUGUUUAUGGAUCACAUUUGGUUCUCCUUAUCCUAGUGAGUAAGCAGCUUUAGAGGAAUGGGGGCUCCCAGAUGUGAUGUAAAGGCUAAAAAGACACAGGCUUAGGUCACUCGCAGGGCCAGCCAAAUCAAUUUUGCAAGACAACAUUUUGUACCCCAUGUUUCCCUUUCCACCUCUAGAAAUUGAUGGAGAAACACUGAUUCCCUACAGGAGUGAGCUUGUUGCUCGUACUUUUGCUACCCUGGCUAAGCUCCUGGAACGGACUGCGCUACCCACACCCACCCAGCUUUCCUUGAAUUCACAGACAAAAGACAGACACACACAGUUGUUCAAUUUCAAUUUGCCUUUUGACAGAGUUGCUGGAAGCUACUAUCUCCCACCUGGAGAAUCGUGCCCUUAUCGCUCUUCUCAUCUCAGCCCCUCCUGUCCGCCCUAAACUUUACGCACUCAGUUACAUUUAGUUCAUCUGCCUGUAGGGGCAGCCUGGGUUUCAAGAUCUGACAUGACUGGUCAACUUUUCUUCAUCAGAAGCAUGGCAAACACCUCUCCUCUCUCCUUGUGUCUCUCUGCUUGCCUUCAGGGAUUUGGAAGUCCCACAUACCCCUUCCGCCCAGCAGUUGGCCCAUGGCUUCUUUACUGAUAGAUCAAGAACCAACUGGGGAACAGGACCUUAGCAUCAGACCCACACCUACAUGAGUUUAUGUCCGUCUGCUUCCACUGUGGCCUAGAAACUCCAGAGAGUUCAUGGUCCCUUCCCUGGAAUCUGACGUAUUCAGUUUUUUGUUAAGUAUUACAAUAAAUGACAAUUUUCAAAUAACAUGAUAGGCAUUUUCUCUCCCUUGGUGAUGCAGAUAUAGGCCAGGUUAGACCAGAUUAAAAGUAGAUAAAGGCAAGUUUAUUAGGAGGAAGCUUUUAUGGGGUGAGGUGGGGGGUUCACCAAUCUCACAGGUUGAGGUCAGCAAAGUCACAAAUCCGGGCAACAAGGGGGGUUUAUAGUGUUUAGGUAUGGAUCUGGGAUGUUGUCUAUACAUGGUCAAAAACUGAGUCCCUGAGCAGGCACUCUUGGGUGGGUUGUGUAAACUCAGAGACAAGGAAUGAUGACAUGUUAACCGGGAGUUUUCUCCAAGCAGAUGGGGGAGUUUCCUCUGUGUGGGAGGGAUUUGGGGAAGGAGGCCAUACAGGGUUCCCACUUGUACUGGGGAUGAGCAGGGGUUCCAGCCUAACAGUACGGUCUAGGAAUAAGCUUAAUUUAAAGUUCCUUGUAUUAUAGUGAAAACCUAUCAUCCUUACUAAACAGAUCAGGCCUCAUCUCACUUUGAAGUGUGUCUGUUCUGGCAAAUGCUGUCUAUGGAGUUUUCCAACAAAUGGUGGAUGAACUUUUGCUUAGCUGGGCAAUUUCUACUAACGAAAGCAGUCGUUUUCAUUGAUGUUAUUGCUAGAAUAAAAACCUUUCCCUUCCAACUGAUACUUCCCAAUCAUCUCCAUUCCCCUAUUCAAGCAUCCCCCACAACCCCACUGAAGCACCCUCAUCACCAGCUGCAGGAGCUCAGAGCCCCAUCUUAGAUAAGAACCCAUCUGUGAGUCAGUGUCUCACAGUUGCUCACCUCAGCCACAGCGUGGCAUCCUCUUCAGCUCUGGAUCUGCUGACGUGUAUUUAUUUACCUGUUGGAGUUGCUGCUUCGGGUUACAUUUUAGCCUCUGAUUUACUCCUUUAGUAUUCUCAGGUACAUGUGUGCUAGGCUAGUCAUAACUGUAGUCUCUGGGGUGUUGGUGCGUGCCCUCCAUGUACAGAUAGCUUGUGAGAAUGUAUGACUUCAUCACACCCUGCGACAGAUAACACAAGUCACAGAAUAUCACACCCUCAGGUGUUAAUUCAAAUCCCUCUGGGAACCUAGAUAACAAUUGAGAAUUGCAUAACUUCCGGCUUCUUGAUUAGCAUAGACUCUGUGGGGGUGGGCAAAUGGUUUUAUGCGUAAGAGAAUUUGCUGUUUAAGCAUGGUGACUUAAAUUCAAGUCUCUGUCACCCUCUUAAAAGCCAAGGUUGGACCCAAGCCAGUUAUCUUAGAGCCGUGGAAGGUGGAGGCAGGACAGAUGGGUGAAGCUAACUCCUCGCUGGCCAGCCUCCUGAUUCAGCGGGAGAGCCUGUCUCAAGGCAGAUGGUAACAGAGGAGAACCCCAAUAUCCCCUCUGUUUUCUUUACACACGUGCACAGAUGCACACACCCAUACAACAUGUGUUCCUAUAAACCCUCACAUUCAACACAAAAAACACAAAUUUGAAAAGCAAGCAUUUUUAAACUAAGGAAAAAAUAAUGAAAUAAAAUUCAACUCAACAACAGUCAUUAAACCUAGAUGCCUAUGUAUUACAUAUAAGAGGAAAUAUUUGGCUGCCUGGUCAUUUCCCUUCUGUAUGAAUUAGACCCCACCCCCAAUCCCCAGUAAUUUCCUGAAGGAAAACCCUGAUGGUGAACUUGAUGGAGAAAAUUAGAAGUUUUGCUUCCACCAAAGGUGAAACUGGAGAGAGAACCCUACAGGCGCUAGGAGGCCAGCAUCUCCUAGUUGGCUUUUACUGAUAUGAUCAAACUUCUAUAAAUGAAGAAAUACAGAGCCAUCUUCUCUCCUGGCUUCUGGGCCUCAUCCUUUCCAGCUUCUUUCCCCAGUCCUGUCUGUGUUGUUGCUCUGUGACUAACAGGUUCCUCUGCUGUUAGACCUUACCCUCUCAACAAGGUCCAUGGCCAAUUCUAAAUGAAAACAACAUAAACAAAGUAGUAAGUGGAUUGUCAUUUAAAGGUAAGCUAUUAAUGGUGUAGGCCUUCUGGGUAGAGAUAGGAGUCUAGACAUUGUUAGCGGGUGUGUGUAGCAGCACUGCCUAAGAAUUCACAGAGAGGUCAACCACACUAAUGACUUUCCCUGGUAACAAUUCUCAUUAGAACUACUUCCUCCAAAGGAGUGUCUCAGGAAGGCAGAGCAUGUCCUCCUGAGAGCCAAAGCCAGUGAGGGAGUCAGUCAGGAGCUUCCCUUACCAUUGUUCACCCAGGGCUGAAUCCUCACUACUUUCUCUUCUCGUGCUACUGCUAUGUGCCCAUGGGUGCACACUGCUAAAUUUGCUAUUUGUUCAGAGGAAAACUUAAUUCCCAAUUUGCUUUUGGACACCAAGCUUGAUCUUAAUAACCCUGCCUGACAGUUUGUUAAAAGCUUUCUGAAUCAGGCAGGGCUAAUGGGUUUCUGUUUGCAUGCCAACUCCCAAUGAUUGAUUGGUCGUGGAUGUCUAGCAUAGGGUCUGGGAUCAGACAAAGUUUUAAAAUUCUGGAGCCGGCUCUUGGUAGUUUUGUUAACAUGGACGAGUUUCUUAUCCCCACCUAAACCUCAGUUUCCCCAUUUGGAAGGAUACUGGUGGUAUUCACUUGCUCUAGAAAGUGUACCAAAUGAGAAAUAUACCACAGGUGCAUAACACAGAACUUAGGAACACAGUUUACACCAACUGAAUGCAGCCCUGGUUAGAGGGAAGUGGUGGAGAAGUCCUGAUGUUGUUCUCCUAUUGUUCACAUAUAAGGCUCUGCCCACCUCAUCCUGAGGACUUUAGUGUGUCUCCCUGUGUGGUGACAAGCAUGACUCAGGCAAGACAAUCUCCUCAUCUGCCCCAACUCUGUUCCUUCACUUGUGAAAUGGGGCUAAGAUAGUGUCUCCCUCAUGGAUGGAUGUAGAAAUAUAAAACAGUAUUGCCAGACAAGCUCAGCCCUGUAAGCUCCCUAAAGGAGCUCCCCAGGAAGUGUGGAAGGCUGGGGCGAGGAGUAGGGGAGGGACAGUACACUCACUUAGAAAGGCUUUUUCCUGUCAGCAGCUGUCACUCAUCCCUAUGGAACAAAUGGCAGCAGGGACAAACUGGCACAUCCUGCUGCUCCUCCACGAGGUGCGGUAGUGGGUGGCAUGGUGGCUUCAUUCAUAAGCCCACCUCCACCACCUCUCUUCCACCUGUCAAAACUGCAGGGGCUGCUUAGCACCUCAUGGAAAUUCUAAUCUGCAAUAAAGUCAUCAAUAAAUACAUCUGCCCGUGCAUGCAGGCGGCAGGACACAUUUGAGAAUUCAAAAUCCUAGGUAGAGGAGGGUAUGAACGCCGUCAGCUUGUCCUGUCACCAGGCGUGAUAUCUGAACACUGUUGUCAUCACAGAGCUGUUUGGUAUCUGCCAAGCUUAGAUUUUCCUCUCAAGUGUGAAGUAGACUGUUCAAGAGAAGAAAACUUCAUCAAGCCCCAGAUAGGAGGAAAAAGCCCUGUCCUUGACUUUGUAAAGUGGAAGUUUUGGUCUCUGUAUGUUAGCAUACAGGCCUGUGCUUUGUGGCCCUAAGGGACUUUCUUGUUCCUCCUCAAACCCCUUUGGCUUUCAUUGCCUUCCUCUCCCUCCUCACAUCCCUGCUAUGUAACAGUGACAAGGAACGGCCUGCUGUGUUUGUCACACUCUGCACAGUCACUGAUGAAUUAAGUCACUGCUCAGUAGAUGAACACAAGCCUGCCUGAUGACAGAGACAGACACCUACAGGAUGCUUCCUCUGAGUGUGCACAGGGCUGGCUUUGCUGCCUAUAGUCACAGCAAGUUGGAUUGUUCUAGUAGGGAAAUGGUGCUCUAAUUGUGUUUCCUACAUCUGCGGCAAAUAAAAACUGUCAGAUGUAAGUUGUAAGUUACACACAGGGAAUAAUUCUAGUUCAGGAAAUUAAGUUAGAAGAAUCUUGGUGAAUAUAAAUGUUCUUCCGGUGAGCUUUGUUGAGAUUUGAGCCAGGCAUAUACAUAAAAUCUUACUACUCAGAGGGCUGAGCUGAGGGGAUUGUACCUGUGGUCAGCCUGGGCUAUGCGGUGAGUUCAAAACAAGCCUGUACUACAUAGUAACACUCUGCCAGAAGUUUCACUCGGAAGAGGGAGAAGAAGGAGGGAAGGGAAAGGAAGGA
rnacentral:sRNA from 1 species